UCCAACUAUGGCUCAGUGAGGCUGCGGCUCUUCUCAGGAUGGUGUCGUAUCGGCAGAGGCGCUCUUUGGAGCUACAGCAGAGACUAUCAUCGCACUGGACCAGAGGGAGGAACCGGCAUCUUUUUGUUCCUUACUGGAAAUAUUCAUAAUCUGCUUGAUUUGCCAAACCCAGUUUUUGGCACGGAUUCUUUUAAUUUACAAAGAGGAUUAAAUUGUAACGUUACAACGCGGACACACGUGGAUUGAUACUAUCAUUUUGCUUUAACCUGAUCAUGAGGGCAACAGCCGAGGGACUUAAAACUGUAGCUAUGGCUCGUCCUGUAGGUAUCAGGGAAAACUGUCCUGUCCGGGAUGAGUGGCGUCUGUUACUGCCACAGUCCUCCUGCUGGACAAGUCGGUCGACUCUCCUGGGAUAACUUGGGAUACACGCGUUGUCAACACUGUCAGAGGUGGUCAGUGUCAUAUGCUUUUGGAAAUGUAUUCUUUUGGAUUUUGGCACAAGGAAAAGGAUACCCUGGAAUAAAUUUUGGAAGCUGUGCUCCGUAGAUGUCCAGUGAUUUGGAUAAUAUGAAUACGCAUCUCCUGACCCAGCAGUGAAGGAGUCCAGGCUCUUGGCAAUGAGAUGUCAACCUUUAUUUGUUCCCAGCAAUCUUCUGGGCUCAUAAGCAGGACGAUUGCAGCAAGCAGGAAGCUCUGAUCCCAUCAGGGAUGUCAGCAGGGGCAGUUUUUCAUAAGAUUAUCUCCAGUGAGCAACAAGAAGAGGCUGACUAAUGGAAACAUGAUCUCAAGAGAUUCAACAGGUAGGGACGACUUUGGUUUUUGUUUGAUCUUCAUUCUGUGGAAUAUGUGAUCACACACAGCACAGUCUUAGGACAGUUGCUGUAAACAACCAAAAUAUGCUACGUUCACUGAUCAAACAGAGGUAGCAGUGGCAGUUCACAUAUAUAAAAGACAUGAUCAGGGUGGUGGCACUGGAUUUUUGCCUAUAUUCGUGCUUUUUUUAAAAAUUAUGUAACCCAAGUCAUGACAGUACAGUAAAAAAUGCAGUGGCACAGAGGUAUCACUUCAAACACAGCUUCUCUUGGGAGCCUCAGAUCCUUUCAUUGGUGCUGAAUGAAGAUAUGCUUUGAUGGCCCACCACAGAGUCGUGGCCUUCAAAGAAACUCAUUGACUGAAUUGUGCAGGGCCGCCAGCAGGCUGAAUGAGCGCCACUGUAUAAGUGCACCUCUCAGGGUAGUCGUGGGUGUUCCCAGUGGAGGUCAAACAUGCUUGACCCCAACAUGAGUACUAAUUUUCUAUAGAUUUUAGGUUUGCAUUUCUCUUCUUUUCUUUCCUUCUGCCUGGUUCUAUUACUAAAUGACGGGGAGCUGUGUGCGGAUGGCAGGGUGCCAGCAGACAGGUACUGUAGAUGUGAUGAUGAGGGAGUGUGAUAGAGGCUGGCCUCAGUUGCAUCCCCAGGCAAAGACAGACAUACACAGGCAGGCUGAGACUCAGAGGCAGGUUGGGGCCUGGUUUUGUAUGCUGAUGCUGCUCUGCUGGCUCUGCUCCAAGGUGAGGCAUAGGCGAGAAACGUGGGAAGGGAAAAACCAGAAUGGUGGCCAAAAGUAAAGAUACAGAAAACACACAACCACAAAUGAGGAUAGAUUAUAGCAUAGAGUGUUAACAAAAAACAAGACAGUGUUUGUAGCUUAUGCUCCAGGAAACAAACUGAAAAGAGAUGAUGACGUGAAGCCCUGAGGAGAGAGAGGGAAAUGCAGGAGGAGAGAUAUGAAGAAAGAGUGCGGCCACUUCCUGUACGCUGGUAGAACGUGACUCCACACAGGAUCACACCAAAUCCAAGUUUGGAUGGUGGACCAGCAUCCCCACAGCAGAUGUUUGCUCCUGGCAUGGCUGCUGACAGUAUGAGCUCCAUCACUGACAGUCUAGCUCUCAGGAUCCAGCCAGCAGCUUGAACUUGGAGGAGCCAUGACAUAAACUCACCAGGAUAGCAAAGCAUAUUCCGCUGCUCAGGCAUCAUGGAACAUAUCAGUCAACCUCUUCUGGAAAGGUGCUCAAGAGAGGAGUCAACUUGAUGAAUGAGCAUUUACUGUAGCUACCAUGACGGUCUACAUACUGUUUAACUAUUUUCUAAAUUGAAACUGGAUUAGUAUUUUCCCGUGCAUACAUCUGCUCUUGAUUUUCAAUAUUUACUGACACUGUUGCUCAUAUACUGUAGCUGUGAUUUUUACUGUGUUAUUCUAAAUACAGCAUCAAUAGUUUUUUUGGAUUUCAUUUUCUGGACUAUUUUUACUACUUUGAAGGCUAUUCUUUGCUUAACAUUUCAGGUUGAUCGAAUGAGGAUACAUAUCUCCUAUGCAUGUGAUCAAAAUGCCUCAGAAAAAUUACUCUGCCAAGACAAUGGAACAUUUCAAAGAAGCCAUUGUCAUCAUGGUCUUGAUAAAUGUAAAACAAAAUCUCUUUUAAUGACAACGCAUUUUGUUUUGACACAUUGGCAGCGUGUCUUAAUUCUGGUUCAUAAUCCUGUCAAGUUGUCGACUCUCAUUAUGAUUUAUUGCUCCAACAUUUGUGUUGUGUCUGUGAAACCUUGUUAGCAGAAAUAAAGAGGUGUAUCC
ensembl:lncRNA